rnacentral:lncRNA from 1 species
UGAAUUUAAAUGAAAAUUCUUAUUAUACCCUAUAUCUAGGAGAUACUUUUGUUCCAUAUGUCAUAUUUUAUUUUAAAUCGUGAGUGCAAAUUAAAAGAUUAUUUAAGUUUUCAUAUUGAAGUUGAGAAUGGUAUUUAAUAUACUUGUGAAAAAAAUAUUUUUUAUAGCAACUUUUAUAUUGGUUUAAAUCUAUUCGAAAUAAAAAGUUGUAUAAUGGCAUUGUAAUUAUUAAAAAUAUUUUUUAUACUAAUUAAUCACAAAAUUGGUAUAAGGUGUGGCACAGUGAUAAAAUUGUAAUAAAUUAAAAACUUUUUUAUAUCGGUUGUAUUCAAAACUUAUAUAGAAAUUUAUUUUUCUAUACCAGUUAACUUAUAACAGGUAUAGAAAAUGGCACAGUGACAAAAAGUGUAAUAUUGGAGAACACUUUCUAUAUAAGUUAGUCACUAUAGCCAGUAUAGAAUGUUUGAUAUCCUUUCCCACCUUCCUUUCUCACUUCACUUCUUCUCUAUAGUUCUUCUCAUUUGUUUCUUCUCAUUAUGCCCUAUUGCCUCUGCACUACCUUUUGCUUUUUGCUUGCCUCACUCACUCUAUGUCAUUCGUCUUUGCUUCUCGGUUGUCUUUGUCGUCAUUAGUAAUAGUUUCUGUGAUGGGUGAAACUUUCGACGUGGUGGGUCAAGUUGAAAUUUGUCUGUGGUGCAUGAAGCUCUGGUUGUGGUUGCUUCUCAAGUGCGUCGUUAGUGUGGUGGGUUUUAUGCUAUUGUUGAAGUUGUAGUGUGUGGUAAGUUAGUUGGUCACGUUCUUACCGGUUUGUUCAAGCUGCGAUGGUGUGGUAGGUCACUGAUGUUGAUCGUCAUGCUCAUGGUGUUUUGUUGAGGAUGAUGUGUUUUUAGGUUUUUAUUAUUACAUUACAUUUGUUGUGAGAAAAAUUCAAUAUUGUGAGAUUCUCCAUUUUUUGGAGCUUUCUAUGUCUGUGUUAUUGCAUUCACUUGGCAUGAUUACCCUUUCGUGUUAGAACUGAUGAGAAAAUAGUGAGGUAUAGAUUUCAAUGGGUGUCUUAU